rnacentral:rRNA from 1 species
GAUGAACGCUGGCGGCGUGCCUAAUACAUGCAAGUCGAGCGAACAGACGAGGAGCUUGCUCCUCUGACGUUAGCGGCGGACGGGUGAGUAACACGUGGAUAACCUACCUAUAAGACUGGGGUAACUUCGGGAAACCGGAGCUAAUACCGGAUAAUAUAUUGAACCGCAUGGUUCAAUAGUGAAAGACGGUUUUGCUGUCACUUAUAGAUGGAUCCGCGCCGCAUUAGCUAGUUGGUAAGGUAACGGCUUACCAAGGCAACGAUGCGUAGCCGACCUGAGAGGGUGAUAGGCCACACUGGAACUGAGACACGGUCCAGACUCCUACGGGAGGCAGCAGUAGGGAAUCUUCCGCAAUGGGCGAAAGCCUGGCGGAGCAACGCCGCGUGAGUGAUGAAGGUCUUCGGAUCGUAAAACUCUGUUAUUAGGGAAGAACAAAUGUGUAAGUAACUAUGCACGUCUUGACGGUACCUGAUCAGAAAGCCACGGCUAACUACGUG